rnacentral:rRNA from 1 species
GACGAACGCUGGCGGCGUGCUUAACACAUGCAAGUCGAACGGAAAGGCCCUGCUUUUGUGGGGUGCUCGAGUGGCGAACGGGUGAGUAACACGUGAGUAACAUGCACUUGACUUUGGGGUAACUUCUGGGAACUGGGGAUAAUACAGGGUAGGAGAUCCUGCUGCAUGGUGGGGGAUGGAAAGUUUCGGCGGUUGGGGAUGGACUCGAGGCUUAUCAGCUUGUUGGUGGGGUAGUGGCUUACCAAGGCUUUGACGGGUAGCCGGCCUGGGAGGGUGACCGGCCACAUUGGUACUGAGAUACGGCCCAGACUCCUACGCGAGGCAGCAGUGGGGAAUAUUGCACAAUGGGCGGAAGCCUGAUGCAGCAACGCCGCGUGCGGGAUGACGGCCUUCGGGUUGUAAACCGCUUUCGCCUGUGACGAAGCGUGAGUGACGGUAAUGGGUAAAGAAGCACCGGCUAACUACGUG